rnacentral:rRNA from 1 species
UGAACGCUGGCGGCAGGCCUAACACAUGCAAGUCGAGCGGUAGCACAAGAGAGCUUGCUCUCCGGGUGACGAGCGGCGGACGGGUGAGUAAUGUCUGGGAAACUGCCUGAUGGCGGGGGAUAACUAGUGGAAACGGUAGCUAAUACCGCAUAACGUCGCAAGACCAAAGUGGGGGACCUUCGGGCCUCACGCCAUCAAAUGUGCCCAGGUGGGAUUAGCUGGUAGGUGGGGUAACGGCUCACCUAGGCGACGAUCCCUAGCUGGUCUGAGAGGAUGACCAGCCACACUGGAACUGAGACACGGUCCAGACUCCUGCGGGAGGCAGCAGUGGGGAAUAUUGCACAAUGGGCGCAAGCCUGAUGCAGCCAUGCCGCGUGUGUGAAGAAGGCCUUCGGGUUGUAAAGCACUUUCAGCGAGGAGGAAAGGUAAUGUGUUAAUAAGACAUUGCAUUGACGUUACUCGCAGAAGAAGCACCGGCUAACUCCGUGCCAGCAGCCGCGGUAAUACGGAGGGUGCAAGCGUUAAUCGGAAUUACUGGGCGUAAAGCGCACGCAGGCGGUUUGUUAAGUCAGAUGUGAAAUCCCCGCGCUCAACGUGGGAACGGCAUUUGAAACUGGCAAGCUAGAGUCUUGUAGAGGGGGGUAGAAUUCCAGGUGUAGCGGUGAAAUGCGUAGAGAUCUGGAGGAAUACCGGUGGCGAAGGCGGCCCCCUGGACAAAGACUGACGCUCAGGUGCGAAAGCGUGGGGAGCAAACAGGAUUAGAUACC